rnacentral:rRNA from 1 species
UACAGAGGUCUCAAGCGUUGUUCGGAUUCAUUGGGCGUAAAGGGUGCGUAGGCGGUGCGGUAAGUCUGUAGUGAAAUCUCUGGGCUCAACUCAGAGUCUGCUAUAGAAACUGCCGUGCUUGAGUGUGGGAGAGGUGAGUGGAAUUCCCGGUGUAGCGGUGAAAUGCGUAGAUAUCAGGAGGAACACCUGUGGUGUAGACAGCUUACUGGACCAUUUCUGACGCUGAGACACGAAAGCGUGGGUAGCAAACAGG